GGCUGGUCUGAUGGCAGCGGGUUAUCAGAACUUAUUAACAUUAGUGUCACUAAAGUUGGUAUACAACUCCACACUGCUAAAUUUGACUGACUUUUU
rnacentral:Y_RNA from 1 species